GACGAACGCUGGCGGCGUGCUUAACACAUGCAAGUCGAGCGAGGCCCAUACCUUCGGGUGUGGUGCCCUAGCGGCGACCGGGUGAGUAACACGCUGGAAACCUGCCCCUAGCACUGGGCUAAGCCCGGGAAACCGGGGCUAAUACCGGCUCUGACGCCGAAGGGCGCCCUCCGGCGUGGAACGGAUUCUGGCUAGGGAUGGGCCUGCGGCCGAUCAGCUUGUUGGUGGGGUAAUGGCCCACCAAGGGGACGACGGGUAGCCGGCCUGGGAGGGCGACCGGCCACACUGGGACUGAGACGCGGCCCAGACUCCUACGGGAGGCAGCAGUGGGGAAUAUUGCACAAUGGGCGAAAGCCUGAUGCAGCGACGCCGCGUGAGGGAUGACGGCCUUCGGGUUGUAAACCUCUUUCAGCUCCGACGAGGCGAAAGUGACGGUAGGGGCAGAAGAAGCACCGGCCAACUACGUGCCAGCAGCCGCCGUAAAAC
rnacentral:rRNA from 1 species